UACGUAGGGUGCGAGCGUUAAUCGGAAUUACUGGGCGUAAAGCGUGCGCAGGCGGUUCGUUAAGUCAGCUGUGAAAGCCCCGGGCUCAACCUGGGAAUUGCGGUUGAAACUGGCGGACUAGAAUCUGGCAGAGGGGGGUGGAAUUCCACGUGUAGCAGUGAAAUGCGUAGAGAUGCGGAGGAACACCGAUGGCGAAGGCAGCCCCCUGGGCUGAGAUUGACGCUCAGGCACGAAAGCGUGGGGAGCAAACAGG
rnacentral:rRNA from 1 species